rnacentral:rRNA from 1 species
UACAGAGGUCUCAAGCGUUGUUCGGAUUCAUUGGGCGUAAAGGGUGUGUAGGCGGCGCGGUAAGUCGGGUGUGAAAUCUCGGAGCUUAACUCCGAAACUGCAUUCGAUACUGCCGUGCUUGAGGACUGGAGAGGAGACUGGAAUUUACGGUGUAGCUGGUGAAAUGCGUAGAUAUCGUAAGGAAGACCAGUGGCGAAGGCGGGUCUCUGGACAGUUCCUGACGCUGAGGCACGAAGGUCAGGGGAGCAAACGGG